AGGGCAAGUCUGGUGCCAGCAGCCGCGGUAAUUCCAGCUCCAAUAGCGUAUAUUAAAGUUGUUGCAGUUAAGAAGCUCGUAGUUGAAUUUCGGGGUUAGUAGGUUGGUCAUGCCACUGGUAUGUACUGAUCUUACUGAUUCCUCCUUCCUGAUGAACCGUAAUGCCAUUAAUUUGGUGUUGCGGGGAGACUGGACUGUUACUUUGAAAAAAUUAGAGUGUUUAAAGCAGGCUAACGCUUGAAUACAUUAGCAUGGAAUAAUGAAAUAGGACGUUCGAUCCUAUUUUGUUGGUUUCUAGGAUUGACGUAAUGAUUAAUAGGGAUAGUUGGGGGCAUUAGUAUUCAAUUGUCAGAGGUGAAAUUCUUGGAUUUAUUGAAGACUAACUACUGCGAAAGCAUUUGCCAAGGAUGUUUUCAUUAAUCAAGAACGAAAGUUAGGGGAUCGAAGACGAUCAGAUACCGUCGUAGUCUUAACCAUAAACUAUGCCGACUAGGGAUCGGAUGAUGUUAAUUUUUUAAUGACUCAUUCGGCGCCUUACGGGAA
rnacentral:rRNA from 1 species